rnacentral:rRNA from 1 species
UACGGAGGGUGCAAGCGUUGUCCGGAAUUACUGGGUUUAAAGGGUGCGUAGGCGGCUUGAUAAGUCAGAGGUGAAAGCCUAUCGCUUAACGAUAGAAUUGCCUUUGACACUGUAAAGCUUGAAAGGGGUUGAGGUCAGCAGAAUGUGGCAUGUAGCGGUGAAAUGCAUAGAUAUGCCAUAGAACACCGAUUGCGAAGGCAGCUGGCUGGGCCUACUUUGACGCUGAGGCACGAAAGCGUGGGGAGCGAACAGG